AAGAAUAUAAAGCAAAGAAGUCCUACACUGGUGGCAUCUCCACUUUAAUGUCAUCUCCAUUACAUCGACAGAGUCCUAGCUGUCAACUGGAGACACUCUACAGCAUCUGAUUGGUUCAAAUCAGAUAUAAAGCAUGGCUGCUGUUGCUUUGGACAUUCCAAGUUUACCUGGAUUUGAUGAUAUUUUCUUUGGAAUCAGACGAGACAGCAUAGAAUACACACCUGUGAGGGAGGUAAAUGUAUUAUAACUGUAAGGACUGAAAUUGUACAACCAAUGCAACCGUACAGCCUCACCUGCAGCUUUAUUAGCAGUCAAAAUGUGUACAUGUCAUUACCUUUUGAAUUAUAACAACAGUCUGACAAAUAGAAAGAUUUUGUCUAGAGAAAAAAAUUAUUUUGUACCCCUCAGGUCUCGUAUGACAGGAAAAGAAAUCUGAAUUCUAGACGAGAUAAUUGGGCUACAAAACAACCAUAUGUCCCCUGGAUAUCUAUAUAUGUAACUGCAUGCUGUAAUGUGGCCCUGCUUGAAAGUUCCGAAAUGAAUCACAAGCUCUGUUUCUUUACUUAAUAUUAACUUCCUGGUUUUGUAGAUUUUUCCUGGUUUAAGAAGAUUGUAUUUACAUCUGGGGCCUCUAUGCAAAUAUUCUCAUUCCUGUUCCUUCAUUAUUACAGUGUAAUAUAUUUUGCUUAUGUAAAAGAUCUGUAGUACAUUUUCUUGAAAUACAUGAAGAUAGGUGCAUUUAAAUAAUGCAUUUUUUUACCCCAGUACUUCAUUAUACAGCUGUAGAUGCCCCUUUAGCAUACCUGCUUUCCAAAAAUGUUUUUGAAAAAUAUUUUGAUAUCACCAAAGAUUUUUUUCUUUUUUUUUUCCUUGCAUUCAGUGAUGAAUUUAAAAGCAAUCACUUCAUCUUUAUUUAACAAUGUCAAAGGUUGGUUAAAUGAAAACAAAAAAGGGCCUAAAAAACCAUUGGCAUUUCUUGCAAAAAUAUUAUUAUGAUCUUAUGCAUGUAAAAACUUUGUUCAUGCAGUUCUGAAAAUAGAAGCAAGUAUAAUAAUUGAUUCUAGACAUUGAAAACUGCAGCUUCGCUUGACACAAUUGUUAUAUCUUUUAAAAUUUAGUUCUUUAUGACAUCACAUGGACUUUAAUUGGGUCUUAAGUGUUUAUAAUUCUUUUUCAAUUGUCAUGCUGGGAAGAAAUGAGAUUCUGAUGUGUAGGUUGAAGUGGGGCAUCCUUCACAUUACUAUGUAGUACAUAUUGGCUAGUCUGGCUACUACAUGAUCAUUGCAGACAUUAAGUCCAUUGUUGAUCUUUAUCCUGUAUUACUUAAACAAUUUA